CUGUAACGUUCGAUAGGAUGAAUUCGAAGAGGACGGAGGUGCCAGAGCUCAAUCGUCCGAUUUGGGGAUUAGGGUUCAGCUGACUCUGCGGAGAUGAUGAGAACGAGAAAUUAAUUGGUUUGGGAAGAAUAAAAUUGGGAAAUUAGGGUUGCGGUUCUUAAUUGGCGAACUCCCAGUUGGGAGCCGAGACUCGAAGGAACGAAGAGAAAAAAUGCAAAUGUUGCUUCG
rnacentral:misc_RNA from 1 species